rnacentral:rRNA from 1 species
AUUGAACGCUGGCGGCAUGCUUUACACAUGCAAGUCGAACGGUAACAGGCCGCAAGGUGCUGACGAGUGGCGAACGGGUGAGUAAUGCAUCGGAACGUGCCCAGUCGUGGGGGAUAACGCAGCGAAAGCUGCGCUAAUACCGCAUACGAUCUAUGGAUGAAAGCGGGGGACCGUAAGGCACCGCGCGAUUGGAUCGGCCGAUGUCAGAGUAGGUAGUUGGUGGGGUAAAGGCUCACCAAGCCAACGAUCUGUAGCUGGUCUGAGAGGACGACCAGCCACACUGGGACUGAGACACGGCCCAGACUCCUACGGGAGGCAGCAGUGGGGAAUUUUGGACAAUGGGCGCAAGCCUGAUCCAGCAAUGCCGCGUGCGGGAAGAAGGCCUUCGGGUUGUAAACUGCUUUUGUACGGAACGAAACGGUCCUGGUUAAUACCUGGGGCUAAUGACGGUACCGUAAGAAUAAGCACCGGCUAACUACGUGCCAGCAGCCGCCGCAGUAA